rnacentral:lncRNA from 1 species
AGCGAAUUGGCCAAGGAAGCUUCAGGUGCGCGUCGAGCCUCGCUCCAGUGCGCGUCGCGGCGCGCUUCAGGUGCCCGUCGGGGCGCGCUUCAGGGUAAGCUUCAGGGUCAUGUCGAGGCGCGCUCAGGUGAGCGAAUUGGCCUAGGAACGCUUCAGGUGAGCGUCGAGCCUCGCUCCAGUGGGCGUCGCGGCGCGCUUCAGGUGAGCGUCGGGGCGCGCUUCAGGGUCGUGUUGAGGAGCGCUCAGGUGAGCGAAUUGGCCAAGGAAGCUUCAGGUGCGCGUCGAGCCUCGCUCCAGUGCGCGUCGUGGCGCGCUUCAGGUGCGCGUCGGGGCGCGCUUCAGGUCGCUUCGGGGUAAGCUUCAGGGUCUUGUCAAGGCGCGCUCAGGUGAGCGAAUUGGCAAGGAACGCUUCAGGAGCGCGUCGCUGUAAGCUUCAGGGUCGUGUCGAGGCGCGCUCAGGUGAGCGAAUUGGCCAAGAAACGCUUCAGGUGUGCGUCGAGCCUCGCUCCAGUGCGCGUCGCGGCGCGCUUCAGGUGAGCGUCGGGGCGCACUUCAGGGUCGUGUUGAGGAGCGCUCAGGUGAGCGAAUUGGCCAAGGAAGCUUCAGGUGCGCGUCGAGCCAUGCUCCAGUGCGCGUCGAGCCACGCUCCAGUGCGCGUCGAGGCGCGCUUCAGGUGCGCGUCGGGCCGGCUUCAGGUCGCUUCGGGGUAAGCUUCAGGGUCGUGUCGAGGCGCGCUCAGGUGAGCGAAUUGGCCUAGGAACGCUUCAGGUGCGCGUCGAGCCUCGCUCCAGUGCGCGUCGCGGCGCACUUCAGGGUCGUGUUGAGGAGCGCUCAGGUGAGCGAAUUGGCCAAGGAAGCUUCAGGUGCGCGUCGAGCCUCGCUCCAGUGCGCGUCGAGGCGCUCUUCAGGUGCGCG